CGAACCCCAGACCCACAGAAGAGCAGGACCCGGGCCAACCCACUGCGCCACUGCACUCCCCCAAGAGGAAAACAUUCAAACGCUAUACUUUCUGAGCCAGAUUGAAACCCAUUUCUGAACUCAUAGCCCAGGGGAUGUGAAGCACCAGUGCUGCCUGCUGCACCACCAUGCCUCCCUGUAGGAAACAUUAAAUCCUUUAAUGUAGUAGUACCCUCAAACUGUAACACUGAUUAUUAAUAUAGCAAAUACUGAUGAUGACAUAUAACUGAUGUUCUCUGGCUUUUCUUACUCAAGAGAUUGAAGUCCUGACAUUAACGUUAUUAAUAUUUCAACUGCCCAAGUUCUAGCAUUUAUUUGCACUCAGCGUACAUGCAGGAUUUUCUCAAAGUUCCAACCAGUGACAUUAAAAAGGAGUUUGUGGAGUAAUUUUAUUAUGCGAAGUUUCUAGGCACGACCAUCUAAGUUACCCAAAAGUGUAUCUUGUUUUAUCUUGUUUAAUGUUGUUUAAUUCUGAUCCCUGACAAAUGGCGUUACAAAGGGGCAGCGCACUUUGGCGGCUUGUUCGGCUUCGCACCGUAUAAAAUUGCCUAAAAAAGCGAAGGAGUUUCAGAUUAUUUCCGUCGUGCCGUGUUCUGCUGCCGAUAUGACGCUGACGAGGGAGGGAAGCGGUUUUUGUAAAAAUAAAAUUGUGUAUUUUAAUCGGAUCCUCCUUCCGCACCCGGUGCCUCUCUCUCCCCCCUCUCUCUCUCUCUCUCUCUCUCUCUCUUUCUCUCUCUCUCUCUCUCUCUUUCUCUCUUUCUCUCAGCAUAUCCAUUUGAUCAUCUCCCCAAGUCCCCUGGCUGAACCAGGCGCGCUUUUCCGCCCAGUUCUGAAGAGGGAGGAACUUCAAAGUGCGUUCAGGAGAUUGGGUGCUUUAGGGUUAAUCGGGCCGGACAAGGUGGCAGCCAGGUUGCGGUUAUGUGUGGUUAGGCGGUGGGGAUGCAGCGGUUACCACGGCGCCCCGGGCUCAUGCAUCGCACCUGAUAACCCGCCCGCGGAAGACGGACCACGUGACGGGCAACAUGCUUGAUUGUGUAGGGCGAAAGCGUGCCCCCCUCCCAGAACAUGUCAUUGGACAUGAAAUGCUUUUCCACGACGGUUUAGACCUGCAGCGGAGGCUCGGCACCCCGGGGCACGUGGGCUGGCGGACGCCCAGGCUGAGAGGGACAGACAGCGAGGACAGCUGCCAAAACCUGCAGAGAUCCACCGCCAGGCGCUUGUAACUGUCCGUAACUGCCCGGCUGGGGGUCUCGCCGGCUCCGCCCAUCCGCCGCAUUUCUGACCUUUCAGCUGCGUUUGUCCACGGUCUUCCAACAGCAUUGCUGGUGUCACAGCUGAGUAUUGCAUUUCGGACAGGAGAAGGAAAAGGAAACGGAGUCAUAAAUGCAGAGGAGGCAGGUAAAGUGGGCGUGGAGAGGCAGUGGGUGCACAGCCAUCGUGGAUUACAGUCCCUUUCUGUUGUUUUCUCACAGGUGACAAUAAAAUGCAUC